rnacentral:rRNA from 1 species
CUACGGGGGGCUCCAGUGGGGAAUAUUGCACAAUGGGCGCAAGCCUGAUGCAGCCAUGCCGCGUGUAUGAAGAAGGCCUUCGGGUUGUAAAGUACUUUCAGCGGGGAGGAAGGGAGUAAAGUUAAUACCUUUGCUCAUUGACGUUACCCGCAGAAGAAGCACCGGCAACUCCGUGCCAGCAGCCGCGGUAAUACGGAGGGUGAAGCGUUAAUCGGAAUUACUGGGCGUAAAGCGCACGCAGGCGGUUUGUUAAGUCAGAUGUGAAAUCCCCGGGCUCAACCUGGGAACUGCAUCUGAUACUGGCAAGCUUGAGUCUCGUAGAGGGGGGUAGAAUUCCAGGUGUAGCGGUGAAAUGCGUAGAGAUCUGGAGGAAUACCGGUGGCGAAGGCGGCCCCCUGGACGAAGACUGACGCUCAGGUGCGAAAGCGUGGGGAGCAAACAGGAUUAGAUACCCCUGUAGUC